AUUGAACGCUAGCGGGAUGCCUUACACAUGCAAGUCGAACGGAGUGGCGAACGGGUGAGUAAUGUAUCGGAACGUGCCCCGGAGCGGGGGAUAACUACGCGAAAGCGUAACUAAUACCGCAUACUAUUGGAGUGGCCGAUAUCGGAUUAGCUUGUUGGUGGGGUAACGGCUCACCAAGGCGACGAUCCGUAGCUGGUUUGAGAGGACGACCAGCCACACUGGGACUGAGACACGGCCCAGACUCCUACGGGAGGCAGCAGUGGGGAAUUUUGGACAAUGGGGGAAACCCUGAUCAAGCCAUCCCGCGUGUGUGAUGAAGGCCUUCGGGUUGUAAAGCACUUUUGGCAGGAAAGCGGUACCUGCAGAAUAAGCACCGGCUAACUACGUGCCAGCAGCCGCGGUAAUUC
rnacentral:rRNA from 1 species